rnacentral:rRNA from 1 species
AUUGAACGCUGGCGGAAUGCUUUACACAUGCAAGUCGAGCGGCAGCGCGGCCUUCGGGCUGGCGGCGAGCGGCGAACGGGUGAGUAAUGCAUCGGAACAUGCCCAGUCGUGGGGGAUAACACUUCGAAAGAAGUGCUAAUACCGCAUACGUCCUGAGGGGGAAAGCGGGGGAUCGCAAGACCUCGCGCGAUUGGAGUGGCCGAUGUCAGAUUAGCUAGUUGGUGGGGUAAAGGCCUACCAAGGCGACGAUCUGUAGCUGGUCUGAGAGGAUGAUCAGCCAAACUGGGACUGAGACACGGCCCAGACUCCUAAGGGAGGCAGCAGUGGGGAAUUUUGGACAAUGGGGGCAACCCUGAUCCAGCCAUUCCGCGUGAGUGAAGAAGGCCUUCGGGUUGUAAAGCUCUUUCGGCAGGAACGAAACGGUGGGCUCUAACAUAGUCCGCUAAUGACGGUACCUGAAGAAGAAGCACCGGCUAACUACGUG